rnacentral:lncRNA from 1 species
CUUAGAUGAAUUAUCUUUUGUAGAUGGUAUACAUACAUCAGAAUAUUUGCCUACAUCAUAUAGCCACUUACCUCACGUGGGGGACUGCAUAAAUGAGAGAUUGGAUGGAACUCAAGAGGAAAACAAUAUAGCUGAGGAUACUUAUGGAAGUCAUGUUACAGUCACUUCUUGCAGCUCGGAAGUGAGAAUCUCCACUGAGAGUGGUGACUGCAUAAAUAAGAGAUUAGAUGGAACUCGAGGGAUACUUGUGGAAGUCAGGUUACAGUCACUUCUUGCAGCUCAGAAGUGAUAAUCUCCACUAAGUGUGGUGACUGUAUAAAUGAGAGAUUGGAUGGAACUCGAGAGGAAAAAAUUAGAGCUGAGGAUACUUGUGGAAGUCAUGUUACAGUCGCUUUGUGCAGCUCAGAAGUGAUAAUCUCAGCUAACAGUGGUGACUGCAUAAAUGAGGAUACUUGUGGAAGUCAGUUUAUAGCCACUUCUUGCAGUUCAGAAGUGAUAAUCUCUGCUAACAGUGGUGACUGCAUUAAUGAGAGAUUGGAUGGAACUCGAGAGGAUGCUUGUGGAAGUCAGGUUACAGUCACUUCAUGCAGCUCAGGAGUGAUAAUCUCCACUAACAGUGGUGACUACAUUAAUGAGAUCGGAUGGAACUCGAGAGGAGAAAAUUAUAGCUGAGCAUACUUGUGGAAGUCAGGUUACAGCCACUUCUUGCAGUUCAGAAGUGAUAAUCUCCACUAACAGUGGUGACUACAUUAAUGAGAUCGGAUGGAACUCGAGAGGAGAAAAUUAUAGCUGAGCAUACUUGUGGAAGUCAGGUUACAGCCACUUCUUGCAGUUCAGAAGUGAUAAUCACCGCUAAGAGUGGUGAUUUAGGAAAUGAAGCGGUCAAUUUGCCCAAGACAAUAUCGAGAAAGAAAGAUGAAUUCCCAAAAGGAGAAAUUGAUUGGGAUGAAUUGAGGAAAACCUAUUCUACUGGUAGAUCUGGUGUUCUUACCGAAAAAAAUAGGGAUUCUGUCAAUUGGGAAGCCGUUAGACAUGCAGAUGUUGAAAAGAUUUUUGAGCCAAUCAAAGGUCGAGGACAGGGUAAUGUUCUUGCUUCAAGGAUCAAGGUACACUGUAGUGGUUUCAUUUAUCUCAUUUUAUUUAUAAUCUAUGUGUACCACACUUAGAGUAGG